CUCCCCGUCCCCAUUUCUCCGGACGCCUGGGACGCAGAUGCCGCCGAAGCCAUCGUGUGCGCGUCGGGGACGCAGCAUCCGCUGCCUCCAUUCCUCUGCGUGGCCUCCGAUGCACAUCCUUAAUUUCUCCAAGUAGGAACCACUAUGUAAAAAAUCUCAAACCCUUCGUUUUCUGCUGCCGCCGCCAUUGGAGGUGCUGUGCCACUAGGACGAUGAGGUAUACGAGGUAUGAGCUCGAGGCGCUCUCAGCGGGGCGCCGUCGUGGGAAGCGCAGGCGAUGCGGUGGGCCGAGGUGCACUCCGCGCUCCCCGCCGCCGGCUUCUCCGGGGAGUACUAGUGCUGCUCGCCACCGACACGCCGGUGAGUGGGAGGAAGGCUUCCCGCGGUGGGAUGAAGAGCCCCGAAGCGGCAACGCCCCAGUUCCAAUUGAGUAAAUCCCAGCCGUGGAGCACCGACAUUUACGAUUGAUGGCACUGGAACGAUGCUCAGGCUAAACUUGAAAAUAAGGAGGGCUCGGCUAUUUCCAUGUUUUUGUGUGGGCCAGCAAUGCUGCUUAAUUGUUCUUUUUUGACGCUUCUGUUUAAUUGUUCCUGGAUGAUGGAUGGUGAAAUUUUGUUUUAAUAAGUAGUUCUUGUGCUAAUUGAUUCUUCUAUUUAGCGUGAUAGCAUAUUUUGUUGCAAGUGUAAAAUCUGGGGAGAUGUGAGGAUGAUUUCUUGGCAGUGGUUGCUGUGAUAUUUGGCAAGAAAUAUUGAAGCCAAGAUGUAUCGGUUUUCAGUGUAAAUGAAUGGUGUCAUUGGAGAAUUUAAGCUGAAUGUCUGGUUAGAACUACUUAUCUGGACGUACAUUAUCUGCAUCCUUGGUCACUUUUAUAUAAAAUCGUUGAUCUCUUACUCUGGAAAUUGAACGAAAGUUUGAGCCUUUAGCCAUCUAAAAGGCUGAAACUGGCUCUGAAGCCUCAAAACUUAGUUCAUAUAAAUAUCUGCCAAGAGUAGAGAUGAUUUAUAUACCUCAAUUUUCAACCUGUUAGUCCUUUCACCUUGCUAUCCGAAAUGUGUGAUCUUGAUGCUAAUUCUAUGCAGGUGGAUAACUACCAAAAGUCAAGGUGAGACCCUGGCCUAAAAGGGGAAAUCGCUAUGUAGUCAGCUCUAGAACAAGGAGAACUACCAAAAGUCAAGGGGAGACCCUGGCUUAAAAAGGGGAAAUCGCUCUGUAGUCAGCUCCAGAACAAGGUGACUGUGGUGCUAUUUGGACAAAGAGAUUGUAUGCAUUCAUCUAUCUGAGCUUAUUUUUGGGAGUAACUGAAAUAGAAGAACAAUUUCUAGACGGCACAGGGAGUUAAUUCAUGCCUGAGGUUGGUAAACCCUAUAUCUAUUGCGGGGUGGUUUGAGGAAGGGACAGCAUGUUACCCACGAAGAUUUUGGCGGUGGAUGAUGCAUGCUAUAGUUACUUAUAGAGUUACCACACCAUUUCCAAUGCUCUAUUUCUAUCUUUCUUUCUCCUACUAGCAAAUUUUAUACAACAUUUCUAGGGAAUUAUAUAUUGCAUUACUUGAUCCUUGUACCAAUCCUAUGUAAUUUGCUCCAAUUAGUUCACGUAACUUCACUUUAUGGAACA